UGUCAUCAAAAUAUCCAGGUAUUAGGUAAAACUUGUGCUAAGCAAAACUUUAAAUACUUAAAUUAGUUGGAAAUCAAAUCAACUACUUGAUAAAUGUCUUGAAUCUCGAUGCGCCCAUUCGACCUUCCACGCGUCUCCAACGUCAAAAUACCUGAAAUGUUUAAUAUGGGAUGAGCAUAUGAAAUAUACUCAGUGUGGGAAACAUGCAAUAAUUGUCCACGUUAAUAAAAUGGUCAACACAUACGCACUGCACUGUACUGAUAACUGAAAUUCGCACGGUGGCAUACCAAGGACUUUAAAGUCCUGGACCCAUUGAGCAGGCCCCUGGCGAAUAGGUUGCAACCCUAACUGUAACAUGAAAUCGCAUUGUGGCAUACCAAGGACGGUGAAGUCCUGGACCCAUUGAGCGGGCCCCUAGCGAUAUAACUGAAUUUACAACACAUAUGGCAAACACAUAAUAUUAAAAUGGACAAAGAUUAACCACAGCAUGUACUGAAAUAAAUCCCACACCUGAAACUUGAACUUGAUAACUGACUUGAAUAGUUCAAUGAAAAGUUAUGUCCUAGUCGCGUCGCACCUAGUCAGAUAAAUUCAAAUAAUAAAAUAUAAGGGCCUAAUUGAACUUUAAAAUAAUAAUAGUAGUUUAAAUCUUAAGAAUUUAUUAACAUAAAACCAUUUAGAAAAAAUAAUCGAUCUAAUGAAUCAAAUAAUAAAAUGCAUGCUUACUUUAAAAAUUUGGGUUAGUGUUACAAAAAUACCAAGUCCAAUUUAAUUAAAAGAAAAAUGCAACUCAAAGCAAAUUAAAAUGAAGCCCAAUUAUGCUAAAUACAGUCCAAAAUGUAAUCAAAAACAAUCCCUUUUGAUAAAAAUUAGUGCAAUCUAUCAUAAGCCAACAUAUACGCCUAUUCUCCUGGCCCAGCCCUCUCUCUUCUCCUUGUCGCCCGGGCCCCGCCGCCGGAGGCCGGCGGCUCUACCUCCCCUUCCCAUCUCCUCAACCUCUCUUCCUCUUCCCUCAUCUCUCGCUCCCCGUUGACCUCUCUCCCUCAACUCUCGUCUCCAGCCUCUCUCUUUCUCUCUCGGCCAGAAGGCCCUCGGCGAAGCCGACGCCGCCCCCCCUGCUCUGGUGAGCAGCCAGCCGUCACCUCCAGCCCGACGUCGCCUCCCCUUCUUUCUCUCUCUUCCUCAGCCGAACAGCCAUCGGCGAGGCCGAAGCUGCCGCCUCCUUAUUCCAGAUCUGGGCCCUCUCCUUCCUUCGGCCGGCAAAAACGGACUGCCGUCGCCGCCGCCAUACCAGGCAGCAGCAGUUGGCGGCCGCCGCCCAGCUUCCUCUUUCCUCCGUCCAACCAGAGCAGCACAGCAGCGGCCGAGGCCACCGCGCCGCCGCCCCUACUCCUUCCGCCAGCCGCCGUGGCGCGCAGCGCCGGCGGCGCUGUUCAACAGUUCCCCCUAUACAAAACCCCCUUCCAGUUCCUUCUUCUAUUCUUUUUCUUUUUCUAUGUAAUUAGCAACAUAUGGAUUUGCAGAAAAAAUAGAUGUAUGCAUGAUUGGAUUUUGAAAAUAAAUUUUUGCUGAUUAGUAUUGGUUUUGGCGAAAAUGAUGAAAAAGAUGAAGAAAAUUAUUGAUAUGCUGAAGUGAAAUAACUUUGCAGAAAUUAUUAAAAUUACCAAUGGAAUUCUGCAGUGAAAAGAGCGGAUUGAGUUAUGUGAUGAAACUGUGAAAGGGAACAAGUAGGUCGGUUGCUGCUGGGUUUACAGAUUGGGGGUGAUGGAAUGAAGGUUAAAAUAGGGUGAAAAUCGUGUGAUGCACGAAAUGCAAAAUAAGAGGCUGACAAGAAUGCAUAAAUUUUGGUGAAGGAAAUUAUACUUGAUCCCCAAGAAUACAAAGUUAAAAUAUGUGGUUGAAGAAAAUGAAAUAUGGUGAAAUGAAACACGUUGCUGUCUGAGCUAUUUUUCUCUAAAAUUGUGUUUUCGAAAUAGUGAAAAUAGAUGCUGAUGGGCUUAUAUUAAUAUAGCCCAAAGAAAAAAUAUAAACCAAUUAGAGAACUAUGUAAAUAUUUAUUGCUAAGUAAAAAUCUGUAAUCUAAAAUUAAUGAUCUAUCUAGGGGCGCGACUAAACAAAAACAUAAAUAUUAUAUAUCAUAAAAUUUUCAAUGAUUUCACCAUUUAAAUGCAUUACAAUAACUGAAAUUUGAAAUAAUUUAAAAUAAAAUAAUUUUGAAUAAAUCAUUUGGUUUCGGGCUGUCACAACCCUACCUACUUAGAGAAAAUUUCGUCCUCGAAAUUUAACUUAAUAGGUUCUAAAUGGGAAUAAUGAGCUAGGAUUUCUCUUCUCAUUCUCAUGUAGUUUCUUGGGGUCCGUGCCUAGUUCACUCUAUAUUUGACUAUCGGUGCUUCUUGACUUCGUAAAGCUUGUACUUUUGAUCUAGUAUACUGAUUGACUUUUCUUUUGUACGCUGAUGAAUGAUGUGGCUGAAAUCGUGCAAGUAUUUCGCAAUCCUCGAGAAACACAUUUGUACAGCUGACCAUUGUAGCGUGAAAGCUAGACGGUAGGCUACAUCAUCCUAUUCGUUCUCGAAUUUUAAACGAACCUAUAAAUCGAGGUCUCAAUUUUCGUUUCUUUCUGAACCACGGGACUCUAUUUAUCGGUGCUACUUAAGGAGAAUACUUCCGCCAACCUUGAAAUAGAACGUCGAAAUAGAACUUCUUUCUUCUAUCGGUCCCGUGCCAUUUUGAUCCUUUUGUCUCGCAAUUACUUCGAUGGUUGCUUUCACGAUUUUUGGGCCUAACACUUAUCGUUUGCCAAAUACAUCCCUAAUGUAAAGAUGACCUACACUUUUUCCUAUAUAAUGCCUCGUAUAGAGCCUAUGUUGAUAGUAGUUGGAAAACUGCUAUUAUUCGUGAAUUCUAUCGACGGUAAAUGAGCUUCCUAACAAACUCAACUAUCGUUUUCUUCUUUCAUCUUUAACAUCUUGUGAAGGUCUUGGUGUUUCCAGGGCGUGCCGUGUAACUCGUGCGAUGCUCUUGAAAAAUUUUCUCCAUCAGUUUAUUGUCCUUGGGGACCCAAAUUCUGUCUACCUACUAAACAUUCUAUCACUUGCCAAUAUGAAUAUCCAUAUUAUCGUCUCUUAAAUCUCUAUUCGUCAUUCGGUGGAGAAAAGUCGUUGAUUUCCUGAGCUUCCUUAAGUUAAUCUUGUAUCGUGAACACUAAUGUUGCUAACUUAACUUUCUGAGUAUUCGAAGUUACUACGUCGAGUUUCUACCUUUUGAAUUCUCUUAUCAAGGUCUCUUGUUGAGUUAUCAUCCAAGCGAGUUGUCUUUUAUCUUUUCCUGCUAAGUGCCACGCCACCACAUUAGCUUUUUCUUGGUAAUGUUGUAUGGUGUAAUCGUAGUCUAACACAAGCUCUAGCCAUCUUUUCUGUCUCCUGUCCAGCUCCUUGCUUCAAUGUGUCAGUGUAGAUACGGAGUUGUCUAAUCCAGCUGGUAUGGUCAACACUGGUACUGUCGUCAAUCUUCUCUUCAAUUCUUGAAAUCAUGCCCGCACUUGUCAGUCAUUUGAACGUGACUGAUCACCUUGUUAAUCGUGCCUUGAUGAAUCUUCUACAAUAACCUGCGAGUCCUAAGAAACAUUUUACUCACUAGCAUUUGUAAGCGUCCUCCAAUUAUUGAUAGCUUCUGCUUUAGCUGGGUCCACUUCGAUUCCUUGAGCAAUUACUACGCGAGCGAGAAAGACUACUCGAUUUAACGAAAACUCGCACUUCUUAAAUCUGCGUAAAGUUUCGCGUUCCAUAAAGUUAAUAAGACGAUCUUGAAAUAUUCAUCACGUCACACAUCGUUACUUAAGUAUAUCAAAAUAUUGUUGAUGAAAACUAUGACUAACUUAUCUGGAAAGUCGUCUUCGAUAUAUCACUCUAUUUUAUCCUAAUUUGAUGGCAACCCAAUCUCAAGUCGAUCUUCGAAAUCACGUCUACUUCUUUCAAUUGGUUGAGUAAAUCUUCUACCCGUGGCAAAUGGUACUUUCUCUUGAUGGUGAGUCGAUCUAGCCCAAACAAUAAACACACACAUCAUUCGUUCCGUCUUUCUUCUUGACCAUUAAGAAUGGCAUUUCCCACGGACGACAUGCUUGGACAAUAAACCUUAUGUCUAAACGCUCUCGCAAUUGCGUAUUUAAUUCUUCAAUUCUUUUGGCGCCAUCAUAUGAUGCUUUGAAAUAGGUGCAACUCUAGGUACUAGAUCGAUCGUGAACUAUACUUGUCUAUCUAGCAGCGAUAUUCAAGCGAGAUCCUCAAGGUGACGCUGAGGAAAAAUCAUGUACCACUAGCACACUCUCGAGGGGAAGUUCUUCGUCUUCUUUUCCUUCAAUGUUUACUACACGGCGCUUCCUAGAAUAUUGAUCUAAUAUCUCCAUUGCUUUCAUCACAGAUAUCGUCGUUUCAGAGUUCCUCCACAAGUUGAAAGAAACAUAUGAUGUUUUCUGUCCGUUGGUACAAUUGAGAUGAGUGAAAACUCGUUCUAGUUCCUCUAACCCUUCUUCAACUGCUAAUUACCUAUCAGGUCUAUCGAAUCAUUGCGAGUUGUAGUUCAUUCGACAGCACUAUCCAUCGCGUUAAGCAUUUGAGUUGACUUUAGGUCGCGUAGCCUGAGCUUGGGUUUGUUGUUUGGACAAAUCCUCGUAAUGCACUCAAAAUUGAUUCUUGAAAUCUCAUCCACUAGUUUGACGAGUUUGUUUUGCUUAGCUUCGUCCUUGUAGUUCGUGCUAGUGUUCUCUACACUAGCUACGAGAAUAGGCAUGCGUACUUCUUAUGGAUCUAUAUUCAGGGACAUUUUAUAUAGGUUUCUACGCACUUACGAAUUGAGAGGUAUAGGUCAAAGCUUUUCUAGGAAAAUUUCUAGGUUAUUCCUAUUUCGAGGACGAUGUUCAAAAAAAUAUUUCAAAACCCGUAAUUCAAUAUCAUGAACUGAAAUAUUCCGAAAUAAAAUCAUAGCUGCAAUAAUCUUCAACAUGAUGAAUUGUAUACUGAACUUUCUCAUAAUAACUUGAUAAUGAACUUGAACUUUCUGAUAAACUUCAAUUAUUGCAGCAAGUUUAACAUAAAUUCGGAAUAUAAACAGUUUAUACUCAUCCCCUUGAAAACUUUUAAAAUAACUUUUACCUUGACGUCGGAGCGCGUAGUGGUCGAAUGGCCUUGUCACACUUGACUUGAAACAUUUUAAGAAAAAUUUUAUUUUGCAGAGUCUACAGGAAAGUAGACCUGCUCUGAUACCAUGCUGUAACACCCUAAUCUAAUUAACGUAUUAAAAUAUGAAUGUAAUAAUUUUUUGACAGCGGAAAAUAUCAUAAAAUAAAGAUUUGGAUUUAUUAUCAAAUAAAUAAAUUUUUAAAUAAAAUAUUUUGAAAACACUUCAAAGGGAGCAAACCCUAAAAAAAUUAAACUUUUAAAAUAAUGUACUCAAAGGCUAACUUUGAUUUAAAAAUCGACAAUCAACCUCUUAUUUCAAAGCAUGACAUAAAGAUGUCAUCAAAAUAUCCAGGUAUUAGGUAAAACUUGUGCUAAGCAAAACUUUAAAUACUUAAAUUAGUUGAAAAUCAAAUCAACUACUUGAUAAAUGUCUUGAAUCUCGAUGCGCCCAUUCGACCUUCCACGCGUCUCCAACGUCAAAAUACCUGAAAUGUUUAAUAUGGGAUGAGCAUACAGAAUAUACUCAGUGUGGGAAACAUGCAAUAAUUGUCCACGUUAAUAAAAUGGUCAACACAUACGCACUGCACUGUACUGAUAACUGAAAUUCGCACGGUGGCAUACCAAGGACUUUAAAGUCCUGGACCCAUUGAGCAGGCCCCUGGCGAAUAGGUUGCAACCCUAACUGUAACAUGAAAUCGCAUUGUGGCAUACCAAGGACGGUGAAGUCCUGGACCCAUUGAGCGGGCCCCUAGCGAUAUAACUGAAUUUACAACACAUAUGGCGAACGCAUAAUAUUAAAAUGGACAAAGAUUAACCACAACAUGUACUGAAAUAAAUCCCACACCUGAAACUUGAACUUGAACUU
rnacentral:lncRNA from 1 species